UACGGAGGGGGCUAGCGUUGUUCGGAAUUACUGGGCGUAAAGCGCACGUAGGCGGCUUUGUAAGUUAGAGGUGAAAGCCCGGGGCUCAACUCCGGAAUUGCCUUUAAGACUGCAUCGCUAGAAUUGUGGAGAGGUAAGUGGAAUUCCGAGUGUAGAGGUGAAAUUCGUAGAUAUUCGGAAGAACACCAGGGGCGAAGGCGACUUACUGGACACAUAUUGACGCUGAGGUGCGAAAGCGUGGGGAGCAAACAGG
rnacentral:rRNA from 1 species